rnacentral:misc_RNA from 1 species
AAGUCGUAACAAGGUUUCCGUAGGUGAACCUGCGGAAGGAUCAUUACAACGUAUCCACGUACCAAACUCGCGAACUGUUCCCAAUAGAGUGAACCAGUGGAUGAAGUUACGAUUUUCAUCUGAGAACUGAAAGGCUUUCGAUCGCCAGCAGAGGUGUUCGCACUUCUCUGGGCUUCGUUUACUCUAUUGCGGUUUCCCAUCAGCUGUUUUACCCAUUAUUAACCCUUUGAAAUCUGAACUGAACUUGAAAACUCAGCUGCCGUUCUUGCUGGCUUCGGUCACGAACGCAACAGCUUUGUUUUUCACAUUACGAAACAAAGAACAACUCUUAGCAACGGAUAUCUUGGUUCUC